UAUUUUUGCACAAAAUACACAUAAAAGUGUAGAAAAAAAUCGACAGCCAAAUCCGAGUAGAGGAAGACCUCUAUUACCACCAAAAAGUCAUCCAGGACCAAAAAAAAAUUUCCAAAAAAAUUCAAUUUUUCUUAGGCAGACGAUUUUAUUGCAUAUUCUUGCACAAAAUACACCUAAAAGUGUAGAAAAAAAUCGACAGCCAAAUCCGAGUAGAGGAAGACCUCUAUUACCACCAAAAAGUCAUCCAGGUUAAAAAAAACAUUUCCAAAAAAAUUCAAUUUUUCUUAGGCAGACGAUUUUAUUGCAUAUUCUUGCACAAAAUACACCUAAAAGUGUAGAAAAAAAUCGACAGCUGAAUCCGAGUAGAGGAAGACCUCUAUUACCACCAAAAAGUCAUCCAGGUCCAAAAAAAAAUUUCCAAAAAAAUUCAAUUUUUCUUAGGCAGACGAUUUUAUUGCAUAUUCUUGCACAAAAUACACCUAAAAGUGUAGAAAAAAAUCGACAGCCAAAUCCGAGUAGAGGAAGACAUCUAUUCCCACCAAAAAGUCAUCCAGGUCCAAAAAAAAAUUUCCAAAAAAAUUCAAUUUUUCUUAGGCAGACGAUUUUAUUGCAUAUUCUUGCACAAAAUACACCUAAAAGUGUAGAAAAAAAUCGACAGCCAAAUCCGAGUAGAGGAAGACCUCUAUUACCACCAAAAAGUCAUCCAGGUCCAAAAAAAAAUUUCCAAAAAAAUUCAAUUUUUCUUAGGCAGACGAUUUUAUUGCAUAUUCUUGCACAAAAUACACCUAAAAGUGUAGAAAAAAAUCGACAGCCAAAUCCGAGUAGAGGAAGACCUCUAUUACCACCAAAAAGUCAUCCAGGUCCAAAAAAAAAUUUCCAAAAAAAUUCAAUUUUUCUUAGGCAGACGAUUUUAUUGCAUAUUCUUGCACAAAAUACACCUAAAAGUGUAGAAAAAAAUCGACAGCCAAAUCCGAGUAGAGGAAGACCUCUAUUACCACCAAAAAGUCAUCCAGGUCCAAAAAAAAAUUUCCAAAAAAAUUCAAUUUUUCUUAGGCAGACGAUUUUAUUGCAUAUUCUUGCACAAAAUACACCUAAAAGUGUAGAAAAAAAUCGACAGCCAAAUCCGAGUAGAGGAAGACCUCUAUUACCACCAAAAAGUCAUCCAGGUCCAAAAAAAAAUUUCCAAAAAAAUUCAAUUUUUCUUAGGCAGACGAUUUUAUUGCAUAUUCUUGCACAAAAUACACCUAAAAGUGUAGAAAAAAAUCGACAGCCAAAUCCGAGUAGAGGAAGACCUCUAUUACCACCAAAAAGUCAUCCAGGUCCAAAAAAAAAUUUCCAAAAAAAUUCAAUUUUUCUUAGGCAGACGAUUUUAUUGCAUAUUCUUGCACAAAAUACACCUAAAAGUGUAGAAAAAAUCGACAGCCAAAUCCGAGUAGAGGAAGACCUCUAUUACCACCAAAAAGUCAUCCAGGUCCAAAAAAAAAUUUCCAAAAAAAUUCAAUUUUUCUUAGGCAGACGAUUUUAUUGCAUAUUCUUGCACAAAAUACACCUAAAAGUGUAGAAAAAAAUCGACAGCCAAAUCCGAGUAGAGGAAGACCUCUAUUACCACCAAAAAGUCAUCCAGGUCCAAAAAAAAAUUUCCAAAAAAAUUCAAUUUUUCUUAGGCAGACGAUUUUAUUGCAUAUUCUUGCACAAAAUACACCUAAAAGUGUAGAAAAAAAUCGACAGCCAAAUCCGAGUAGAGGAAGACCUCUAUUACCACCAAAAAGUCAUCCAGGUCCAAAAAAACAUUUCCAAAAAAAUUCAAUUUUUUUUAGGCAGACGAUUUUAUUGCAUAUUCUUGCACAAAAUACACCUAAAAGUGUAGAAAAAAAUCGACAGCUGAAUCCGAGUAGAGGAAGACCUCUAUUACCACCAAAAAGUCAUCCAGGUUAAAAAAAACAUUUCCAAAAAAAUUCAAUUUUUCUUAGGCAGACGAUUUUAUUGCAUAUUCUUGCACAAAAUACACCUAAAAGUGUAGAAAAAAAUCGACAGCUGAAUCCGAGUAGAGGAAGACCUCUAUUACCACCAAAAAGUCAUCCAGGUCCAAAAAAAAAUUUCCAAAAAAAUUCAAUUUUUCUUAGGCAGACGAUUUUAUUGCAUAUUCUUGCACAAAAUACACCUAAAAGUGUAGAAAAAAAUCGACAGCCAAAUCCGAGUAGAGGAAGACAUCUAUUCCCACCAAAAAGUCAUCCAGGUCCAAAAAAAAAUUUCCAAAAAAAUUCAAUUUUUCUUAGGCAGACGAUUUUAUUGCAUCUUCUUGCACAAAAUACACCUAAAAGUGUAGAAAAAAAUAAACAGCCAAAUCCGAGUAGAGGAAGACCCCAAUUACCACCAAAAAGUCAUCCAGCUCCAAAAAAAAAUUUCCAAAAAAAUUCAAUUUUUCUUAGGCAGACGAUUUUAUUGCAUAUUUUUGCACAAAAUACACCUAAAAGUGUAGAAAAAAAUCGACAGCCAAAUCCGAGUAGAGGAAGACCUCUAUUAGCACCAAAAAGUCAUCCAUGUCCAAAAAAAAAUUUCCAAAAAAAUUCAAUUUUUCUUAGGCAGACGAUUUUAUUGCAUCUUCUUGCACAAAAUACACCUAAAAGUGUAGAAAAAAAUCAACAGCCAAAUCCGAGUAGAGGAAGACCCCAAUUACCACCAAAAAGUCAUCCAGCUCCAAAAAAAAAUUUUUAAAAAAAUUCAAUUUUUCUUAGGCAGACGAUUUUAUUGCAUAUUCUUGCACGAAAUACACCUAAAAGUGUAGAAAAAAAUCAACAGCCAAAUCCGAGUAGAGGAAGACCUCUAUUAUUACCAAAAAGUCAUCCAGGUCCAAAAAAAAAUU